AUAUAUUUAUAUUUAUUGGUGGUGCCCCCUAUUUUCAAAUUUACUACUGACGCUGCAUAUGUUGACACAGGGCCGUGAAGUCAAAAUUGGCACCCUGGCCACACUUCACCUUCUGCCCACAGAUUCUAUAAAUGGCCAUGUUCACCU